AGGACCCUGAAUGUAACAGCUGGGGUAAGCACGGUCGGGGACUAUUGUCAUUUUGUCUACUUAAACUAAAAACUCCGCGAUUUCUGAUCUGUUUCUUUAUCAAGUUCGCAUUUCACUGUGUACCAGUAAGAUGAGGAACACUGUCGUCGUCAUUCUCCUCGUUCUGUGUAUGACUUCGCUGACUAGGGUGGUGGCCGACUCCUUCUGUGGGACGGGUCUGGUGAGCUGUGACGGAAUGAGCAGGAUUCGCCGGGCACUGUGCAACGGGCUCUCGAUGUGUGGAGACAAACUGACCAGAGAGAAACGCGAGAUCAGUGACGAGGAUAGUUCUGGCUCGGAUUCUUUGGAGAUCGAGUGAAACCGACUACAGCAGAGUUGAACCUCCUUAAAAUCAAUGUGACCUUUUCAUCUUUGCACGAUAAUCAAUAUAAUGCUUUAUAGCGUGUAAUGAGUUUUGAUAGUUUCUCUGCGUUUAAAAAUAAAUGAAAGGCAAAAUAAAUAAAAGGAAAAUAG